CGUGGCAGUCCGUGCUUGCUUCCAGCAAAAACAAUGACGGUGAUAGAGGUCGAAAGAGACUGUGAGAGUGAAGACUCUCCAAUCCAAUACCCAUUAGACUGGAGGAAAAGGAUCAGCGCAAAACGGAACCACUGCAGGCGGACCAGAGGAAGGUGGUGCAUGGUAAACGCCGCCGCCAGGUGACCGGCACGAUUCGCAUCUCAGGGAGUCCACUCUCAUUCAAUAACUUCAAAGCCAAUAGAACGCCUUGGAGAGAUCGAUCAAGCGCAUGCAAGAGUGAACCAGUUGGGACUUUUGCUGAAUCAGUGUCAUUGAAGUGAUUUGUGCAUGAAUUCAGUCAACUGAUCAUCCCAAGAUUUCUUAUGAAAUAAGCUUACUGGAUCCAACAUUACUACUUAUGAAGCACAUACCCAGAGUUUCUUAUCAAUUCUUUCUGUCUUAUAUCUACUUGCAAUUUUUAGAAAACCAUACUGCAUGAGAGAUACUACUGUGAAGUGAGAAUCUAUGAUAUGGCUAGGGGUGGUUUUUAUCAACAAACAACAUUUUUAUCUCUCAUUUGAAGAUUUGGAGCAAAAAUUAUAAGGAAAGAGAAGCUGAAAACUUUUGUUUAUUGCAUUUCCUCAUUUCACACAUACUGAAGAACACGUUCAUUCCUAAGUAGAAGAACUACAUAAGUGACAACUUCACAAUAUAAAGGUAAGCGAACAACUAAAGGGAAUAUAUAUAUAUAUAUAUAUAUAUAUAUAUAUAGAGAGAGAGAGAGAGAGAGAGAGAGAGAGAGAGAGAGAGAGAGAGAGAGAGAGAGAGAGAGAGAGAGAGAGAGAGAGAGAGAGAGAGAGAGAGAGAGAGAGAGAGAGAGAGAGAGAGAGAGAGAGAGAGAGAGAGAGAGGUACAUUGAGCAAGUUCUGAAGUUGUAAGGAGUGACCAGGAAGCAGUGGGAAUUUUCCUUUCUUAAGAUUUAAGGUUUUCAUUGAGUAAAUUAUUUCUUAUAGCAAAUGGGUCUUGGCAGAAUGGGUUUUGUGGGGUUUUGUUUCUUGCUGGGAAAUUAGUGUUCUUUUUGGUAUUUGGUCUAAUAAUUUGUUGACCGUUAGGUACUAUUGAGACUGAGUUUUGACACUGCAUAACAAUCAACAAAACUUUGAGUUAGUUCCCACCAAGUUUGAAUUUUGAUGAACAGAAUCUUCCGUAACUCUAAUAGUUAGAACUUUUCAGGUUUUAUGGGAGAUUUUUUGGAAGACUACUAAUAAUAUAAGGAUCUUAAUUAAGUCCACCCAUUGUCAUUCGGUAAGUUGCCUAGAUGUUUACAUCUUAGCUUUGGGAGAAACAUCAAACUAUUCAACUUGGACAUAAUGAUGCUAUAUUUGCAUUGAAAACUGUUGUCAAUUGCAAAGUACUAGCAGUAAGAUCAUAAAAACUAAUUUAUGGUCUGAAGUGUCAACAAAGACCAAAAUUUUAGCAUCUGAUUUGUGUGAUUAAAAUGCUUUGACAAGUCAUAGGAGUGUACCAUGUCAGACUUGAUCCCAUAGGAGGGGGUGCUAAAACGCGUCAAUCAUUUGGUCAAGAGAUAUACUUUCCAUUUGUUUUAGCCUUUACAGAACAGGUAACAGAAGGAAGUUGAAGUGCUUCUUUCGGAUACUGUAGAUCAUCUUGAUGAUGAUCUUUUGUAUUGGUCCCAAUUGUCUUCUUUGCAGGGAAAGCCAUGGCCAUUUGCUGAGUGGAAGUUUUAUAUAGCAUUUCCUUUAUUUCAUGGCACAUCAAUUUAUGCAGAUCUGACCAAGUAAUCUCAGGUAUAUUGCAAUAAAGUCAAGCCAUAACUUCUAAUAGAAUUAUUUGUUACCUUUUCUUUUCUCUGGAUGGUACACAUAGAAUAAUUCUCUUUGCUAAUUUGAAAGGCUAUGGAAAAGAUUAAAUGCUUUAAUGAACAUCUUUUGUAUGUAUGUAGUAUGAAUUUUUUUUUUUUGAGCAUAUGUGUGCGUGUGUUAGAAAGUGAAGGUGGUUCAUCUAAUUCCAUAAUUCAUGCUGCCUUCUUUAAUAGAGAAAAAGUGAAAAGACCAAAAUCAUGGAAGCUAGAGUUAUUUAGGAAUAUAAAAAUUUAUGUGUGCUAGCUGCCUUUAUAUUAGAAAUAAUAUUAUUUCAAUGGCCAGAACUACCUCAUUACAAAUACCACUAAUUGAAGCACCAAAUCGUUCACAUUCACAAAGAUUCAAUAUUUUACAACGUGGUCAUAUUAAUUUAUCCACAACAAUGCAUAUCAAAUCAGAAAAGGAAACUUCAUUAUUUAUCAAAUCAAAGAGAAAGAAAUGUACAGAUUAGUACAUAUACUUUAUAAUUGGCACAGAGAUAGACAAAUGACCAAAAUUCGUAAUACUUGCAUUGUUAUAUAGUAUAAUACUUUCUAAUACAGGUUAACAUGUACACUUUAAUAUAACAUAGUAGUAUGACUAUGAAGUCCCAAUUGUUUGUAUACAUGUACAGUUUAAAGCACUGUAUUAAUUCAGCCUUUUCUCUUGCUCUUGCAAAUAACUGAGAUCUUCAAUUGGGUAAGAAGACUUCACAGAUUGAUAUGCGUUAUUCGAGAUUCUCCAAAGAAUGCUAAACAAUCAUUUACUUGGUGCUAAUUUCAAUUUUAGAUUGGUUGACGUAUUGACAAAUCAAUUUUAACCACCAUUUGAUUAUUCUUCUUUUUCUUCAAGUAGUGAACAACUAAAUAUGAUACCUGUGUUGGUCCUUUUUUAUUUUAUUUCUUAAGAAUUGAAUAGUUUUAUUAACCAUAUAUGCGUGAUUGUAAUUGUCCCAAUUGUUCACAUCAACAUAGCCUUACAUACAAAAUUGGUAACCAUAACAAAUCCCGCAGCAUCGCGCGGGGACUUUUGCUAGUUCAUACCAAAGAUGGGUAUCUUAGUGGGUGUUUGAGUAAUCUUCAGGAUAUAAGGGUGCGGGGAUGUUAAGUGGGAAAACUUGUUUGCGAGAGAAAGAUAAGAAGAGAUGAAAGUGAGAGCAAAUAUUAGAUUUUGGUUAAGUGUUUUCUUUGGUACGUAAUCUGGUUUAAAGCAGCAUUGAUACACGGAAAUCUGUGUGUUUAUAAUAUUUCAUACAAAAAUCCGUGUGAAAUACAUUUACAUUUGUUACAGACAUCCGUGUGUAUUAACCUUGGUACGUAACUCAAUAGCUGUCAUCUAUUAUCAUUCAAAUAUUUACAUGAAAUUCUGUCUUUAGCCUCCUACUCACACGGAAUUCAGUGGCUAGUUUUUCUUUUUACACGGAUAUCUGUGUCCACAAAUCACACAGAUAUUUGUGUAUUACUUAUUUUACACAAAAAUCUGUAUCGAAAACCUAUUGUCACGGAAAUCUGUCCCUAAAAUUAAUGAUUUUGAAAUAAACUAAUCUAUAAUACGUACAAAAAUAUGAUUUUCACACAGAUAUUUGUGUAAAAAUAUUUUAGCUUUUACACAGACGUCUGUUACUGCUGUUUAUUCACACGGAUUUCCGUCAAUAUUGUUAUUGUAUAAAUUACUGUGGGCCCAAUUAUGCUCCAUUCACACGAAUAAAUUCACACAGAUAUUUGUGUGUUACUCAUUGCACACAGAAAUCUAUAUCAAAUACUUAUUGUAACGGAAAUCCGUCCCUCCAUAAUUCACAUAACAUAAAAAAUUAAUGAUUUUGAAAUAAACCAAUUUAUAAUACGUACAAAAAUCAGUGUGAAUUGAUUUUCACACAGAUAUAUGUGUAAAAAUAUUUUAGCUUUUACACAUACAUCUGUUACUAUUGUUUAUUCACACGGAUUUCUGUUGAUAUUGUUAUUGUAUAAAUUAUUGUGGGCCCAAUUAUGCUAUUUUCACACGGUUAUCCGUUGGUAUUUGUAUUUAGCACGGAUAGCACGGAUAUCUGUGGCUUUUAAAUGAGUUAAAUCUGUGUGUAUUGUUAUAUUUGGAUCCAAAUAUUGGAGGUUUGCAAAUUCAUUGGGAAAGGGACCACUGAAAGCAUUGUGGCUUAGAUCAAGUUUUCUGAGGCUGGUGGCAUUAAAAAGCCAUUUGGGAAAGGGAGAAUGAAUCCAAUUAUUUGACAGAUCAAGGACUGAAAGUGAUGUGAAGUUAGUUGUGUGCAGUGAGAGUGGAAGGCUUUCGAUUCCGCGGCCAGACAGAUGUAACUCUAACAAUGAAGGACUCCUGUUGACAGCAUACAGCCAGCUCACUCCUACACCGCCAAGAUUCAGACCUUGGUUUAGGGAAGAGAGUUGAGAAAGCCAAUUCAAAUUUUUGAAAGUAACUUGGAUCAACCUUCCCGAAGGAAUUUCUACAAAAGUUUGACUGAUAUCAAGAUAGUUUAUAUUUGAGAGGUUACCAAGAGAAGGGGGAAGCUCUCCCCCAAAUAAUGCAUCUGUUAGAUUGACAUACCUCAAACUUUUAAGCUCUCCAAAGAACUUAGGAAUGUGAAUUCCAUCAAAGUCAUAUAUUCUUGCUUAGGUCUAGGUAAUAUAAGCUUAGCAAAGAAGGAUUUGUCUUACCUCCCAAGAAGCUGGGAUGGUAACCGUAGAUGUCCUGGUCUUCAGAUUCAGUAUAUGGAUCUUUAAAUUCAACGUAUGGAGGUUCAGGUUCAAUAUAUGGAUAUGGAUAUGUAUUUCGGAGGUCAAUCUUUGCAACGUGACCCGUUUGAUUGUUGCAUGAAAUCCCUUUCCAGUGACAGCAAUCUUGACCCAUGCAUCCAAGAAGAAAGCCUACCAGAAGGAUCAGUGAGGUCUUGUUUAAAGCUAAGGAGCGCUUGUCUCUCUUCCUCAAUGCACAGUUUCACACUAUUUGGAAGUCCAUCACCUAAACCGAAGCAGAGUUUAGUAGUGUGUAGAUCUGGAGAAGCAAAAAAGAAGAAGAGCAGACAGUAAGCAAUAAUGAGGUGAUUGGUAGGGUUGAAGUUUGCAUGUCUAUCCAUAGUUAAUUUGUGGGUUUCUUUAAAGCAUGGCUAUGGUGUGGAAGUGAAUUUAUAAGAGGCUAGGAAUGCCUAAAAUCAAUACAUUUGUUGUCGAUCAGUUCAAGUCCUCGGUCCAUUUUACAAGUUCAAAUUUAUCAGUCCACUUCAGGCAGGAUUCUAUAUAUUUUUUGAACUAGGAUGGUUUGAAUAUCGUAUUAGUUUUUGCUCUCGUCAUUCCAAGUCCACAAGGACCGCAACCCUUUUUAAUUACAAGUUUGCUAGCUAGUCCACUUAGAUAGUAUUUGUUUAUUGCUGAAUCAAAUUGUGUGUGCUUGUGUUAGCUACAGGCAAUAGCUUCUGAUAUAAAUCAUAUAACCACUUCAGUCAGUUCUCUGAUCGAUGUUGAGAUAUCCGUUGAAUAUCUCGCAUUUGACAUCAAUUUAGGCCAGUUCAGGUGAUAUCUGGUUUCUGUAUGGCAAUUGAGCACAUAUAAUUAUUUCUUUGCAGAUGUGAUAUAGUAUAUGGAAAGCAUAUUAAAAGUCUAUAUGAAAUACAAAAAGAAAUUAAGGUCAAGUAAUCAACAUCUAGAUUGUUUUCUAAUUUGUUUGAUUUGGCCUAUAUCAUCACACAUUAUAGUCUUAGGCUCCGUUUGGGAUUGUUUCGCUUUUAAAAAAAUCAACUUUUGUCUAAAAUUUUAGAUUUUAUUGUGUUUGGUAAAUAAAUAAAAAGCAGCUUUAAUUGAAAAUUACAGGUCACUGACAGCAGAUUUUAGAAGCAAUCUUUGGGUUGCUUUUAGAAGCUGCUUUCAAUUAAAAUACGCUCUGAAGUUCUUUUAUGUACUGACAACACUUUUAAAAGUCACUAUGCCAAAAAGGCCUUCAGACGACACACUUCAGACGACAUAAGUUUUGUUUUAUGUCGUCUGAGUUUUUCAGACGACAUAAUUUUUGUUUCUGUUGUCUGAAUAUACACUAAAACCAUACUGGUUUAAUUUGGAAAAAUGGUGAGCAUUCAGACGACACAUUUGUGUAGUUGUAGAAGGUGGUGAUUUCCUAUCUCAAAUUUGGAUAAGUGGUGAGUAUUCAGACGACACAUUUGUGUAGUUGUAGAAGGUGGUGAUUUCCUAUCUCAAAUUUGGAUAAGUGGUGAGUAUUCAGACGACACAUUUGUGUAGUUGUAGAAGGUGGUGAUUUCCUAUCUCAAAUUUGGAUAAAUGGUGAGCAUUCAGACAACACAUUUGUGUAGUUGUAGAAGGUGUUGAUUUCCUAUCUCAAAUUUGGAGGGAUAUCCAAAAGUUGAUGAGCUUUUCCCUCUCAAAUAGCCAAGCCCUAGUUAACUAGAAAUUGACAUUUGGACAACAUUUAAAUGUUGUCUAAUUGUGGAGGUUGUUUUAAAAAAAUUUGAGUUAUUUUGGCUUGUGCUUUUUGACCUCUAUCCCUCGCAAUAAUUAAGUCAUUUUCUCUCCUUCUCACUCUGCUCUCUCAACCCGACCUGGAACCCGCGACUUGUGCUUUUUGACCUCUAUCCCUCACAAUUAUCCUUCUCAUCAGCUCUCUCAGAUCUCGAUUCUCACUCUCUCGAUUCUUCUUCUUAACCUCUCCUUCUUUUUCUUGGUCUCUAUUUCAUCUUUCGCGUCCGGAUUAUGGAGCUCUCCAGCAACCAGUAGAGCACUCUAGAAAAAUUAGGCUUCUUCGCUAUUUAGGUUCUUCCAUUUGUGGGCUUCUCGAUUUGGGGAUUUCACGGGUACUCAAUUAGCCACUUCGACAAUCCAAUCUUGCUUAGAUUCAUUCAGUUUACUUUGACAUCCAUAGCUGGUGAGUUAAAUUCGAGAUUUUAGAUUAGGGUUUUGAUUAUUUGGCAAAAUUUAAGAAAUCUGGUGUUUUCGUUUGUGUUUAAUCUGAGAGUGGACAUUGGGGCUUGCUAAAUCAAAUCAAAAUUAUUCUGUCAUGGUCUCAGAGGAUGGAACUGCUCCGGCUACUACACGAAUGGGAGGCGUUCUAGAGGCAAUCCAGAUUCAAGAGAAUUUUUGUGUUUAGUGGGAGCAGUCUGGUUAUAGAAGAACAUUUAAUAUUUUUGUACAUAGGGAGAGGGAAUUUCAGUAGCAAGAUGAUCGAUUUAGCUAUGAAGACCACCUCAAACUCUUCGUCGACAACUCUAGAUUGAUCAAGACCAAGCUUACAGUUCAGUAAUCAAUGGUGUUUCUAUUCAUGUUAUUAGUUAACUGAUAAAGAUAAAGCCUUUAACCCUCUUAAUAUGUUCUUUAAUUUUCUAGGAUUAUUCAUAUGAUAUGAAGUAGAGUAUUCACAAUUGUGUUGGGCUUUGAUUUUUGAGUGUGCUUUUGUUUUCAAUGGGAUUUCCUAUUGGUGGUGGCAUCAAAAUGAUUUUGUUUUUGGUUUUUGUUUUACUGAAAUUGGGAGGUUGCUGUUAGCCUAAUCGCCAAAUUCAAAACCACCGGAAGUAGAUCUUGGUAAGGAGAAAUGUCUUUAAUAAUCUGCCAUCUUCAACCCAACUCAACUCAGGCAGUUUCUUUGUCCAUCUUCAGUAGAUCUUGGUAAGGAGAAAUUUCUUGGUAAGGCAUUUUCUUUCUCCAUCUUCAGCAGAUCUUGGUAAGGAGAAAUUUCUUGCUAAGGCAUUUUCUUGAUCUGCUGAAGGAGAAAUUUCUUGUUGAGGCACUUUCUUUCUCCAUCUUCAGCAGAUCUUGGUAAGGAGAAAUUUCUUGGUAAGGCAUUUUCUUUCUCCAUCUUCAGCAUUUCCAUCAACAACCCAACUUAGGCAUCCUCUUCCUCCUCCUCCUUCUACAUUAGGUAAAGGUCAUUUUUCAUGUUUGCUUUGCUAAGUUCUUUGUUUUGAUUUCUAGGAAUUUGCUAGAAAAUUUUUUGACAUUGGAAUUUAGCAAUAGGUGGUUAACCAUAUAUAGCCAAUAAGUGGAUGCGUUGAGAGUGUGGUUUUGAUAUGGGUUUCAAAGUUUUUGACCGUUUGUGUUUGAAUGCCACUCCUUGAAAUUGGUAUCAUGUGUUCACUUACUAGUAAGCAUAAUAUUUUGAGCACUUUCGGUACUAGUAGAAUUGUGUUUUCUUGUGUCUUGUGUUUGAGUAAUAAAGUCUAGAAUGAGAUGAGAUGAGAAUGUCUUGAGAGUGUAAGUAACAAGGUUUUAGAUAGUCUGAUGUUGUAGGACAUAAUGAAAGAGAUGUAAAUAAGGAUAUAGUCAGUGACUGAUUUACACCAUCCCCUAAAAGAUAUUAAUUGUGUACAAAAAAUAUAUGAAUAAGGGAUAGUUUACUCCCAUUUUCUCCAUUUUCGGUACCCUAAUUUGCAGUCUUGAUGCUUCAUGAGCAAGCAGCUCCUGUAGUUACUUAAAGAAUGCUAGCUACAUAUACUUUGACUCCAACUACUUGAAGUUUGACAAGUUCGAUGAUCUUUGCCCGGUUGCACUUGUUAAAGAGUUAACUGAGAGAGGUGGUUACAUGGACCCUUGAAGCUAUGUGACGCACCAGGAAUAAGAGGUGCCUACGGGUGUAUGUCAAUAAGGAUAUAGGCAUUGAACAAGGGGACAUCUACAAUCAUUUUGUAAGUGAUGCAACUGGCCGGAGGAGCAACUUUAUGCAAACAGAGAUAGGUACUCCAGCUGAUCCCUUCCCAGCAAGGUUUGUUUACUUAUUUCUUUUAAAAUAAUGCACAUAUAUAAGAGAUCAUCAAGAUUGGGAAUCAAGAAGGGGGGAUUUGCAACAUAUUUGGGAUCAGUAAGGUGAGUAUUACAUAUUUCCUUAUAGCUUCCUCUCUUUAUUGGUUUUUUUUUUUUUUUUGGCUUUUCUGCAGUAGGUGUCUCUUGAUUUAUUUACCUUAACUCUUGUCUUAUAAGUUUUUUAAGCAUUCUCUCUCGUUAGGUGGGACUAGUUGUAGCAUUGCAAUGUGGUCAUUAAAUUUUUUUUUUUUUUUUGAGUGCAAGGUUUAGAGUUGGUUAGGGUUUUCUGAAACAAGAAUUAUUACUUAUGAUAUGAUGAAUUUUGUUGACCAUUCAGAGUUUGAGUUUUUGCAUCGUAACACAGGGAAUAGAAGUUUUGUUUGAUGUUAGAAAGGGUUAGAGUUGGUUAGUGAAACAAGAUUUAGUAUCAAUGUAAAAACAGUAAGAUGAAUGAGCAGCCUUUUAGUUUUAACUUGUAAUGCAGUAGAUAAAGCUUUUGUUUGCUGUUAGAAAUGAAUUAUAUGGUUAACCAAAAUUGUAUUGUUUAUAAUGAAUUUAACUAGUACUGGAUGCAUCUAUAAAUGGUAUUUUCUGUAUCAGAAUUUUUACCACUGACUGUGUUUGUCCUUCAGGCUUGUAACUUUAUUAUUAUUUAAUUACCAGGGAUUUAUUUUGGUUGUUUUCAGGGGUCGGAAUUCAUGGUGUCCUACUUUUCAUAACAUUGAUUGGAAAGAGAACGGGGGAAGGAGGAGGAGGAGGAGGAGGAGGAGGAUCCGACCAACAGCAGAGAGUUUCUCCACUGUUUGAGAUUUGCAAUCGACAUCAAUCCGGACAAAGAUUGGGUGAAGGAAUGCACGUCAGCCUUGCUGCGUUUUGCGAAGAGGCCUCAUUUGAGCGAGCAAAAAAAUGGGUGCUAGAACUGAAAUCACAAGGGCUGUAAGACAUCAUUUUGCUCUUUGUGCUGGCUUGCUGUAAGAAAAUGGAUCCUUAUUUACUGGCUAUCAUUUUCAUGGAUGCCCACAAUAGCAAAGACAAAUUUAAUCAUGCUUUGGGUUAUGCAUAUAUACUCACGCACCCCGGAAUACCUUCCGUCUUCGAUGACCACUUCUAUGAUUCGGGUGAUUCCAUUCAUGAUCAGAUUGUGAAACUGGUACAGCAGUAUGGCUAGCUAGUUCUUUUAUUAACUUGUGUCUAGUAGAAAUUCUUCCUUCUUUAAGCAUUUGGACUUGUCUGCAUGUCCAGAUUAGUAGAUAUGGGUAAUUUUGAAUUGAUAUUCAUGAUUAGGUUUGUGUACAUGAGACAAUGGUGGAUUAAUGGAAAUUGUAAUGAAUGAUUUUGGAUGUAGAUUUUAUGGUUUCGUACUUUCA